CCUCUGGCGCAAUAGAACAGUUCUGUUCCUGGUUGCUGCUGUUCAAUUCCAUGGACACGGAUUUGCGCUGAGUCAGAUUUUUCACUUGAAGAAUCCAUAUAAGGCCCUACCUCCUCCUCCCUUCACAUCAAUAUCCACGCUGAGUUAAACGCUAGAGCUACUGUUUACAAGAAAUGGGACACAGACAUGGACGCAUACAACAAGGCCCACUAUGACCGCCAACAUCAAACAUGCAAAAGGACAAUAUAGGAGGAAGGUGGAAUCCUACUA